UUGCAUAUCCAAUAGCGGAGGAAAAGAAACUAACAAGGAUUCCCCUAGUAACGGCGAGUGAAGAGGGAAGAGCCCAAGUUUGAAAGCUGGCGUCUUCGGCGUCCGCAUUGUAAACUCGAGAAGCGUUUUCCGCGCCGGACCAAGCUCAAGUCCCUUGGAAUAGGGCAUCAUAGAGGGUGAGAGUCCCGUACUUGGCUUGGAGUCCCCGGGGCUUUGUGAUACGCUCUCCAAGAGUCGAGUUGUUUGGGAAUGCAGCUCAAAAUGGGUGGUAAAUGCCAUCUAAGGCUAAAUAUCGAGGAGAGACCGAUAGCGAACAAGUACCGUGAGGGAAAGAUGAAAAGAACUUUGGAAAGAGAGUUAAACAGUACGUGAAAUUGCCGGAAGGGAAGGGUAGGGAGUCAGAUAUGCUGUGCGGAUUCAGCCUUGUCUUUGGACUUGGUGUAUUUUCGUAUUGGCAGGCCAGCAUCGGUUUGUGCCGCUGGAUAUAGGCUUGGGGAAUGUGGCUUUGUCUUCGGUCAAAGUGUUAUAGCCCCUUGCUGAGUACAGCGGCAUGGACCGAGGCACGCAGCGCACCCUCUGGGCGGGCCCUCGGGCACCUUUGCGCUUAGGAUGCUGGCUUAAUGGCUCUCUGCCACCCGUCUU
rnacentral:rRNA from 1 species